GGGCAUGUGGUGUAAUGGUAGCAACCGGGAUCUCACUACAUAGUAACCGGGAUGUCGGUUCGAAUCCGACCUUGUCCA
rnacentral:tRNA from 1 species